GACGAACGCUGGCGGCGUGCUUAACACAUGCAAGUCGAGCGGUAAGGCCCUUUCGGGGGUACACGAGCGGCGAACGGGUGAGUAACACGUGGGUGACCUGCCCUCAGCUCUGGGAUAAAGCCUGGGAAACCGGGUCUAAUACUGGAUAUGACUCCAUGACGCAUGUUGUGGGGUAGAAAGCCUUGUGCGGCUGAGGAUGGGCCCGCGGCCUAUCAGGCUUGUUGGUGGGGUGANGGGCCUACCAAGGCGACGACGGGUAGCCGGCCUGAGAGGGCGACCGGCCACACUGGGACUGAGACA
rnacentral:rRNA from 1 species